rnacentral:lncRNA from 1 species
AAAAUCAUUAAAUUUGGGCGGGUGCUGAAAAUGAUAUGCGGAAAAUUUAAUUUUUAAAACUUUGCGCGACCAUUCUUUCGUCGUGCAAAGUUUUGCGCGACCAAUAUUUCAUCACACAAAACCCUAAAAAUUUGGGUAGGCGCCAAAAAUGGGGCGCGGGAAUUUUUUUUAAGAUUUUACACGACCAAUUAAUCUUUCAUCGCGCAAAAUCGUAUCCUUCGUCGCGCAAAGUGCUACAGUUUUUAAAACCAAAAUAACUCCUCCACAAUUUUCUCAAUGUAUCUCUCUAGUUCUCUUACCUCUCCUAUAUUUCCCUCUCCCCAAAUCCGACCCCCUCUUGCACACUCAAUCUCUCCUUUCUCUCUCUUUAUCUCUCACUCUCACUCACUCUCUCACUAUCUCUUCUCACUCUCUCACACUCUCUCCUCUCUCCCUAUCUCUCACUCACUCUCAAUCUUGCCAAAAGGUAUUUUCUCUCUAAAUUUUAAUUUAUUUUUCAUUAAUAUGUGUUUUUGGAGUUAAUUUUGGAUUUGGGUCGGGUUUGGGGUCGGGUAUAGGGUGAGGGGUGGAGUUUGGGGUAUGCCAAUUUUAGGGGAGGUUAUGCCCUUUUGUGGUAUUAUUUUAUGUUUUUUUUUUUUGGUUAUUUGACCAUGUUUUUUUUUUUGUAGGAAAUCGUUGGGACUUUGACAGUGAAAGUUGAGGAGUAGAGGAUUAUGACGCUAUCGGACCAUAUCCCUCCCACCACCACCACCACAAUAGACUUGUGUUAGGAUUUUAUUAUUGUAAGUUGUUAAUUUAUAUGUAUAUUUUUAAAUAAAAUGUAUAUUAUGGAUAAUUUGAUCACUAUUUUUCUUAUGUAAUUUUAUUUUGAAUAUGUCAAUUUAAAUUAAAGUAAUUAAAAAAAAUAAAGCCAUACAGUUAAAUUAAAUUCAAAAAGUAAAAAUUCAAAAAAUCUUGCAAAUAUUUCAUCGUGCAAACAAUUACUUUAAUUAAAUUAAAUAAUAGAAAUAAUAAAACAAAAAGUCAAUUUAAUUAAUAAAAAAUAAAAACCAAAAACUUUUGUCACGCAAAAUCUUGCGCUACCAAAUAUUUCAUCGCCCGAAAUAUUAAAUUAAUUUAAUUAAAUAAAACAAAAAACAAAAAUUUUGCACAACGAAAUAUUUCGGCGCACAAAGUACCUUCGUGCGCCAAAGAUUAAUUUUCGUCGUGCAAACCCUAUCUUCAUGAGCUUUGUGCGACGAAAUCUUACUUUGCACAACAAAUCUUAUUUCGUCGCGCAAAGUGCUUUUUUGUUGUAGUGUACAUUUGCACCGGUACACCUUGCUGUAAAGGAGGGCAUAGAUGAUCUUUUGGGAAAAAACUGAAGAGGAUAUGAUAGUUUUAUUUUUUUCAACAAUUUUCAAUAGAGAGAAUCAAAGGGAGUUGUAUGAAAACAAAAGAAGGUGCCACUAUUGUAAGCAACCUUGACAUAAGACCAAAUUCCAUCACAUCUAAUUGUUUCUAGAAUCUUGAGGGAGGGAGGCCAAAUUCAGUAUACGCACAUAUAUAUACACACACACACACAUGUUAAUUAAUUAGAAAAUUUUGUCACUAUUAUUUUUCUCCAUUUGGUUAUCUUGCUUGUGUGUGAUUCAUCAGGUUCCUCUUUGCCUACUUCCCACUUGGGUUGAAAUCCCACACGCCAAGGAAACAAAACUGCUUUGAGAAACUAAUAUAGCUGGCAAGACCAUUGACCAUCCAACAAAUACAUACAUCUACCUCACAAAAUGCUGUAACUUCACUAAUUAGCAAUAUAUAUGUAGGCAUUAUCUGAUUAUACUAAUAAUUUAUGUUUACUAAACUGGCCUUUCACCUAGCACCAACAACAGAUCCAAAUAUAAACCACCACCACCCAACCAAUAAUAAAGACCACCUUGUGAUCAAGCUUGAUGCAUUAAUAUAGCGAUGUUGCAGAAACGUAUAUAAUGUAAUAUGAAUUUUUAGAAGGCUUAUUAUACAAAAUAGUCCAUGAGAUUUGCAUAAUCAAUAGAAAUGGUCCUUGAGAUUGUCCACCAUCCAUGAUUUUGGUCAUUCCGUUAAAAACUCUUUGGGCAAUUUUCAAAGCUUUUUAACUCAAUCGUUUCUUAACCAAAUUCGACCCAUAAUAUAUCAAAAUGAAGAUAGGAAAGUGUAGAAAAAGAUUAUGCCUAUUUGGAAGGCCAAUGGUUGCUGAGAUGGCCGAAAAAUAGUCUGAAAGGUGACUGGUCCGUGGGAAAACUGGAAAACUCGCCGAAAACUGGGUAAAUUAUAAACGCUCAUAACUUCUUCAAUACUCAACGAAAUCGAGUGAUUCAAAAACGAAAAUCAUACUUCUUGACGAGACAAAGAGAAUGGUACCUUUUUUGAAUGCUAACUCGCCAUUGUUUGGUCGGACAAUGGCUCGAAAGUGGCUAACCAUUUUCGAGUUAGCCACUUUCGAGCAGUUUUCCGGCCAAAACAUGGCGAGUUAGCAGUCAAGAAAGAUUUCAUUAUAUUCAUCUCAUCGAGAAGUAUGAUUUUCAUUUCUUAAAUCACUCAAUUUCAUUGAGUAUUGAAGAAGAAAUGAACGUUUAAAGUUUACCCAGUUUCCUGCGAGUUUUCAGUUUUCUCGCGGACCAGUCACCUUUCAGGCUAUUUUCCGGCCAUCUUCCGCAAUCAUUGGGCUUCCAAAUAGGUAUAAUCUUGUUCUACACUUUCUUAUCUUCAUUUUAAUAUAUUAUGGGUUGAAUUUGGUUAAGAAUCGAUUGAGUUACGAAGCUUUGAAAAUUGCCCAAAGACUUUUUAAAAGAAUGACCAAAAUCAUGGAUGGUGGACAAUCUCAUGGACCAUUUUUAUUGAUUUUCAAUCUCAGAGACCAUUUCUAUUGAUCAUACAAAUCUCAAUGACUAUUUUGUAUAAUAAGCCUUUUUUGAAUAUAGAAACCCUCAUCUAUUCCUCAAAUUAUUUCAGAUACUGUAAUAUGAAGUUUUAGAAUGUAGAAAUCUAUGAAAUUUCGCUAAUUAAUUGGAAAUGUUCUAACACCAAUAAAACUGCAUGAACUAAUUAAUCUAACGGAAAUGUUCAUGACACAUUUUCAAUUCUUUUAAUUUUGAUAAAAGAUUCAAAAUAAUCUUGAGGGUUUGAAGUAGCGUCAUAUGGUUUGACAAAAAAACAGUAGCGUCAUAUGGGAUUUCAAAAAUCAAUUUUAAUUAUUAUUAGAUGGAGCAAUGAGGUUUCAAAUAUAACCUUCAAUUCUAUCAUCACGCAAUAAAACAAGGGAACUUUAAUGAAAAGGGUUUUUCAAAACUUUUAAUUAACCAAAAAUCAUCUUCUAACUUUAUUUAAUAAAAAUGGCUUAAAUUUUAAUAAAAAUGAUUCAAAUUUUAACGAAAAUGACAAAAGUUUUACAUAACAACAAAA